GGGUUGUAAACUUCUUUUAAGAGGGAAGAGCAGAAGACGGUACCUGUAGAAUAAGCCACGGCUAACUACGUGCCAGCAGCCGCGGUAAUACGUAGGUGGCAAGCGUUGUCCGGAUUUACUGGGUGUAAAGGGCGUGCAGCCGGGUCUGCAAGUCAGAUGUGAAAUCCAUGGGCUCAACCCAUGAACUGCAUUUGAAACUGUAGAUCUUGAGUGUCGGAGGGGCAAUCGGAAUUCCUAGUGUAGCGGUGAAAUGCGUAGAUAUUAGGAGGAACACCAGUGGCGAAGGCGGAUUGCUGGACGAUAACUGACGGUGAGGCGCGAAAGUGUGGGGAGCAAACAGGAUUAGAUACCCUGGUAGUCCACACUGUAAA
rnacentral:rRNA from 1 species